rnacentral:siRNA from 1 species
UCAAGAUAGUAACACAUGUGCC